rnacentral:lncRNA from 1 species
GAACACAAAAUGGCGACACGUGGUUAGCAUUCGUCGCCAACGAGAAAUUGGGGUCGGCCCGAAAGCUCUAGAAUGCACCCCUCUUCCUCCCCGGGGCCUUCCACCUCCGCGAGUUUUAUGACUUAAAAAAGCCCACAGGCUGGUCUGAAGAGGAAGACAAACAUAAAGAUGAAGUGCUUAAUUCAAGGUCACACAAUGUCGGGGAUGGACCUCCAGAUUUCCUUACUGACCUGCAUUAUCUUGUGGAUACCUGAGUGAAUUCCACACCACCCAUUUUAUAGAUGAAACCACUGAGACAUGGAGCAAUUGACUGAGUAGUCACUGCCCCACCCCUGCCUGGAGCCUCACACAUGACUCGCCUCCUCUCAGUGACCACAGUACUUAUCCUGUAUUACAUGAAGGAAAUGAAAUAAAAAGACUGCAGCCCCACUCCCAGCUACUCAGUGAGGUGGUAGCUAGGUGAGACGUGGUCUUGUAACACAGUGGUUAAGAAUGUGACUUUGGAGCCAGCCUGCUAGGGGCUGAAUUCUGACUCAGCCAUUUACUAACUGUGUGACCUUAGGUGGAGUCUCACUCUGUAGCCCAAGCUGGAGUGGCGUGAUCUCGACUCACUGCAACCUCCGCCUCCUGGGAUCAAGUGAUUCUCGUGCCUCAGCCUCCUGAGUAGCCGGGACUACAGGUCACAGAAUUUUCCAC